GCCAUGCCGCGUGUGUGAAGAAGGCCUUCGGGUUGUAAAGCACUUUCAGCGAGGAGGAAAGGUUGGCGCCUAAUACGUGUCAACUGUGACGUUACUCGCAGAAGAAGCACCGGCUAACUCCGUGCCAGCAGCCGCGGU
rnacentral:rRNA from 1 species